UGAUGGAAUUUUCAAAAAUGGUCUCAGCCA
rnacentral:piRNA from 1 species